rnacentral:rRNA from 1 species
UCCGCAGGCUGUUGUUUAAGUCAGAGGUGAAAGUUUGCAGCUCAACUGUAAAAUUGCCUUUGAUACUGGAUAACUUGAGUAAUAAUGAAGUGGUUAGAAUAUGUAGUGUAGCGGUGAAAUGCAUAGAUAUUACAUAGAAUACCGAUUGCGAAGGCAGAUCACUAAUUAUAUACUGACGCUGAGGGACGAAAGCGGUGGGGAGCGAACA